rnacentral:rRNA from 1 species
GACGAACGCUGGCGGCGUGCUUAACACAUGCAAGUCGAACGGAAAGGCCCUGCUUUUGUGGGGUGCUCGAGUGGCGAACGGGUGAGUAACACGUGAGUAACCUGCCCUUGACUUUGGGAUAACUUCAGGAAACUGGGGCUAAUACCGGAUAGGAGCUCCUGCUGCAUGGUGGGGGUUGGAAAGUUUCGGCGGUUGGGGAUGGACUCGCGGCUUAUCAGCUUGUUGGUGGGGUAGUGGCUUACCAAGGCUUUGACGGGUAGCCGGCCUGAGAGGGUGACCGGCCACAAUGGGACUGAGAGACGGCCCAGACUGCUACGGGAGGCAGCAGUGGGGAAUAUGGCACAAUGGGCGGAAGCCUGAUGCAGCAACGCCGCGUGCGGGAUGACGGCCUUCGGGGUGUAAACCGCUUUCGCCUGUGACGAAGCGUGAGUGACGGUAAUGGGUAAAGAAGCACCGGCUAACUACGUG